GUACACUCCUGCGGGAGGCAGCAGUGGGGAAUUUUGGACAAUGGGCGAAAGCCUGAUCCAGCCAUGCCGCGUGAAGGAUGAAGGCCUUCGGGUUGUAAACUGCUUUUGUACGGAACGAAACGGCCUUUUCUAAUAAAGAGGGCUAAUGACGGUACCGUAAGAAUAAGCACCGGCUAACUACGUGCCAGCAGCCGCGGUAAUACGUAGGGUGCAAGCGUUAAUCGGAAUUACUGGGCGUAAAGCGUGCGCAGGCGGUUAUGUAAGACAGUUGUGAAAUCCCCGGGCUCAACCUGGGAACUGCAUCUGUGACUGCAUAGCUAGAGUACGGUAGAGGGGGAUGGAAUUCCGCGUGUAGCAGUGAAAUGCGUAGAUAUGCGGAGGAACACCGAUGGCGAAGGCAAUCCCCUGGACCUGUACUGACGCUCAUGCACGAAAGCGUGGGGAGCAAACAGGAUUAGAAACCCGAGUAGUCCC
rnacentral:rRNA from 1 species